AAAAAAUUGCUGCGCAUGAUGAAGUCAACAAAGUUUUUUCUCAUGCAUUUUCUUCAGCAGGAUUUCCAACCAUGUUACAACCGCCAGCUUUCGAGACUUUAGGCUGUAUGGGACCUGAAACAAAGAAAUUCAUUGAGAAAUUAGGAAAAAUUAUAAAGGCCACUUCAGGGGAACCGCGAUCAAUGGAUUAUUUAUUGCAGAAAAUUUCAAUUGCGAUACAAAGAGGCAACGCUGCGUGUAUUUUGGGGACUUUGGGACCGGAUAGAGUAGAUGAUUUUUAUGUUUUGUAACCUUUGAUUUUUGAAAA